rnacentral:rRNA from 1 species
CUCAGUUCGGAUCGGAGUCUGCAACCCGACUCCGUGAAGCUGGAUUCGCUAGUAAUCGCGCAUCAGCCAUGGCGCGGUGAAUACGUUCCCGGGCCUUGUACACACCGCCCGUCAAGCCAUGGGAGCCGGGAGCGCUUGAAGUGCGUCGCCGCGAGGCGCGCCCUAGAGCGAGACCGGUGACUGGGGCUAAGUCGUAACAAGGUACC